rnacentral:piRNA from 1 species
UAACCACUGACUGACUAACGUAUGUUGC